rnacentral:rRNA from 1 species
AUCUAUGGCCAUGCCACUCUCAGCGUGCCCGAUCUCAUCUGAUCUCGGAAGCUAAGCAGGAUUGGGCCUGGUUAGUACUUGGAUGGGAGACCACCUAGGAAGACCAGGCGCUGUAAGCG